CUUAAACAGCUUGCUUUUUAAGUUAGCGGCGGACGGGUGAGUAACACGUGGGCAACCUGCCUGUAAGACUGGGAUAACUUCGGGAAACCGGAGCUAAUACCGGAUAAUCCUUUUCUACUCAUGUAGAAAAGCUGAAAGACGGUUUACGCUGUCACUUACAGAUGGGCCCGCGGCGCAUUAGCUAGUUGGUGAGGUAACGGCUCACCAAGGCGACGAUGCGUAGCCGACCUGAGAGGGUGAUCGGCCACACUGGGACUGAGACACGGCCCAGACUCCUAUCGGGAGGCAGCAGUAGGGAAUCUUCCGCAGUGGACGAAAGUCUGACGGAGCAACUUCGCGUGAGUGAUGAAGGUUUCCGGAUCGUAAAACUCUGUUGUUAGGGUAGAACAAAGUACGA
rnacentral:rRNA from 1 species